rnacentral:rRNA from 1 species
UACGGGGGGGGUAAGCGUUGUUCGGAAUUACUGGGCGUAAAGGGCUCGUAGGCGGCCAACUAAGUCAGACGUGAAAUCCCUCAGCUUAACUGGGGAACUGCGUCUGAUACUGGAUGGCUUGGAUCCGGGAGAGGGAUGCAGAAUUCCAGGUGUAGCGGUGAAAUGCGUAGAUAUCUGGAGGAAUACCGGUGGCGAAGGCGGCAUCCUGGACCGGCAUUGACGCUGAGGAGCGAAAGCCAGGGGAGCAAACGGG